rnacentral:rRNA from 1 species
UACAUGGGGUGCAAACGUUGCUCGGAAUUAUUGGGCGUAAAGCGCACGUAGGCGGUUUGUUAAGGCGGAUGUGAAAUCCCUCGGCUCAACUGAGGAAGUGCACCCGAAACUGGCAGGCUUGAGUACUAAAGAGGGUCGCGGAAUUCCCGGUGUAGAGGUGAAAUUCGUAGAUAUCGGGAGGAACACCGGUGGCGAAGGCGGCGACCUGGGUAGAUACUGACGCUGAGGUGCGAAAGCGUGGGGAGCAAACAGG